CAGUCGAACGGGAAUCUUCGGAUUCUAGUGGCGGACGGGUGAGUAACGCGUAAGAAUCUAACUUCAGGACGGGGACAACAGUUGGAAACGACUGCUAAUACCCGAUAUGCCGCGAGGUGAAACCUAAUUGGCCUGAAGAAGAGCUUGCGUCUGAUUAGCUAGUUGGUGGGGUAAGAGCCUACCAAGGCGACGAUCAGUAGCUGGUCUGAGAGGAUGAGCAGCCACACUGGGACUGAGACACGGCCCAGACUCCUACGGGAGGCAGCAGUGGGGAAUUUUCCGCAAUGGGCGAAAGCCUGACGGAGCAACGCCGCGUGAGGGAGGAAGGUCUUUGGAUUGUAAACCUCUUUUCUCAAGGAAGAAGUUCUGACGGUACUUGAGGAAUCAGCCUCGGCUAACUCCGUGCCAGCAGCCGCGGUAAUACGGGGGAGGCAAGCGUUAUCCGGAAUUAUUGGGCGUAAAGCGUCCGCAGGUGGUCAGCCAAGUCUGCCGUCAAAUCAGGUUGCUUAACGACCUAAAGGCGGUGGAAACUGGCAGACUAGAGAGCAGUAGGGGUAGCAGGAAUUCCCAGUGUAGCGGUGAAAUGCGUAGAGAUUGCGAAGAACAUCGGUGGCGAAAGCGUGCUACUGGGCUGUAUCUGACACUCAGGGACGAAAGCUAGGGGAGCGAAGGGGAUUAGAUACCCCUGUAGUCCUAGCCGUAAACGAUGGAUACUAGGCGUGGCUUGUAUCGACCCGAGCCGUGCCGAAGCUAACGCGUUAAGUAUCCCGCCUGGGGAGUACGCACGCAAGAGUGAAACUCAAAGGAAUUGACGG
rnacentral:rRNA from 1 species